GUGUCGAGGGUUUUUGGAAUCACAAAUCUCAAAGUAAACCAAAACCCUAGUCUCUCAUCCCUCCCGUUUCUGCAACCAUGAGCCGAUCAGGACAGCCCCCGGAUCUCAAGAAGUACAUGGAUAAGAAACUUCAAAUCAAGCUUAAUGCUAACCGUAUGAUCGUCGGAACUCUUCGUGGGUUUGACCAGUUCAUGAAUCUUGUUGUGGACAACACCAUCGAAGUGAACGGUAAUGAGAGAACCGACAUUGGCAUGGUGGUGAUUAGAGGAAACAGUGUUGUCACAGUUGAAGCUCUCGAGCCAGUGGGCAGAUCUUAAUCUUAUAUAUAUCCAUUGUGUCUUGGGGUACGUACAUGCCUAGAAGAUCUUUUUGGUAGCAUGUAAUCUGUCGAACUCAAGAUUACUAGGAAAGGAUGGUGAGGAGGAAGAAAAGGGUAAUGGAGCAAUUUGAUCAUGAGCUCCAACGGCUAUUUCCCUUUAUUCUUUUAUGCUUUUUCUUUGCCCUUUGUUACUUCAAUUAUAAGAGUUUCUUAUCAAACAGAAAGGAAGCGAUGUCUUGAGAAGAGAAUAUGUGAAAGUGGAAUGGAACCAAACAUGCUUCCAAACAAGUCUUCACUUGAGGCAAGAGCAUAUCUUUUUCCUCUCCCCAAAGAAACAAUACAACGCAAUAUUCGGCACGUGGGUUCGUUGUCGCACGUGGGUUUGGUUUUAUUCCUUUUGCCCUUUUAUUCUCUUUGUUUCAGAUGAUAUCAUGUGUUGUUGGUUGCUUUGUUUUAACGACUAAAUGAAAAAAUAAGAUAUUAUUUUUUCAA